UGGAGUGUUUAGAUUAUCAAAAAGGAAAACUUCAAAAAACUCCCCUGUGGUUCCGUAGUUUCUCACUUUGCCCCCAUGUGGUUCAAAAUGUAUCAAAUUGCCUCCCUGUGGCUUUGUUUUUAUCUUUUUGAUAGCUUUUUCAUUAAUAUUUCAUUAAAUUAUAUACAAAAAACUUCAGAUACCCAUCUAGAUUUAUCAAAUAUUCACUUUAGUACUCUAUAAUUUUAACUUUAUCACUGAUUUAAAAAAAAUAAUAAUAAAAUUGAUAAGAAAAAUAGAAAAAAGAAACCACAGGGGGGCAAAUUGAUACAUUUUAAACCACAGGAGGGCAAAGUGAGAAACUACGAAACCACAUGGGGGUUUUUGAAGUUUU
rnacentral:lncRNA from 1 species